GAUGAACGCUAGCUACAGGCUUAACACAUGCAAGUCGAGGGGAAACGGCAUUGAGUGCUUGCACUCUUUGGACGUCGACCGGCGCACGGGUGAGUAACGCGUAUCCAACCUUCCCAUUACUGUGGGAUAACCUGCCGAAAGGCAGACUAAUACCGCAUAGUCUUCGAUGACGGCAUCAGAUUUGAAGUAAAGAUUUAUCGGUAAUGGAUGGGGAUGCGUCUGAUUAGCUUGUUGGCGGGGUAACGGCCCACCAAGGCAACGAUCAGUAGGGGUUCUGAGAGGAAGGUCCCCCACAUUGGAACUGAGAUACGGUCCAAACUCCUACGGGAGGCAGCAGUGAGGAAUAUUGGUCAAUGGGCGCGAGCCUGAACCAGCCAAGUAGCGUGCAGGAUGACGGCCCUAUGGGUUGUAAACUGCUUUUGUAUGGGGAUAAAGUCAAUCACGUGUGAUUGUUUGCAGGUACCAUACGAAUAAGGACCGGCUAAUUCCGUGCCAGCAGCCGCGGUAAUACGGAAGGUCCGGGCGUUAUCCGGAUUUAUUGGGUUUAAAGGGAGCGUAGGCCGGAGAUUAAGUGUGUUGUGAAAUGUAGACGCUCAACGUCUGACUUGCAGCGCAUACUGGUUUCCUUGAGUACGCACAACGUUGGCGGAAUUCGUCGUGUAGCGGUGAAAUGCUUAGAUAUGACGAAGAACUCCGAUUGCGAAGGCAGCUGACGGGAGCGCAACUGACGCUUAAGCUCGAAGGUGCGGGUAUCGAACAGG
rnacentral:rRNA from 1 species